AUGCUUACUUCGUCUAGCUGUUUACUAAUUUGCUAUCGCAAUCGAUGCUUCACCUUUCGGGUGAAACUGCGCUUUUACAUCUCUCUCUCUAUCUCUCUCUCUCUCCCUCUCUCUCUCUCUUUGCAGCCAAAUUCUGUACGUGAGUUCGCCCGGGCAAUCCGUGCGCAAUCGCAAACUCUUGGAGAAAGUUCCCAGGUGCCCAGCGGCCACGGGAAACGGUGCACGAUGGACAUCGUGAUCAAGAUCUUCUACAAAAGCGAUGACCACUCGGUGACUGUCAAGUUAAUCAGAGGAGGGGCAAGCCUGGUGUUGCCAUUCAUGCUAUGCCUGCUGAUAACGGCAGUGGUGUAUGGAGGAUUCUUCUGGGUCCUCUCGUUCAUGGGUUUCCAAGAGACUGGGGUCGCCGCGAACAGCUUCGCUGCCUGGUGGCAGUCCACGUAUCCGAAUUGACACGUGCCACCAGGUAGCUUGUUCGCGAGGCUCCAGUCGCUUGGUACCGUGGGCCCUAACCGAAGAGACUUCCUCCUGACCCUCUUAGCCGUGUCGGCAGUGGUGUCAGCCAUGGGUUGACACCUUGGGAUGGCUGCUCGGGUGCUGCCAAACUUCCAAGCACGGCUACUGCCGCGACACAACAACUGGCAGCCAGCAGCCACGAGCAGCCACGCAAGCAGGGCAUCACCAUGGCCCCUCCCUGCGGAGCCUCUGCGUCACACCAGACCCACCGGCCCCCACCCCUGAAGAUGGACGUUACCAUCAAGUAUGUCAACGGCGAUGACAACAGUACCACCAUCAAAAUUCUCAGGGGUGGAGGGAGCCUGGUGGGGUCAAUAUUACUGUCUUUGGUGAUAACGGCAGUGGUGUAUGGAGGAUUCUUUUGGGUCCUCUCGUUCAUGGGUUUCCAAGAGACUGGGGUCGCCGCGAACAGCUUCGCUGCCUGGUGGCAGUCCACUUAUCCGAAUGGACACGUGCCACCAGGCAGCUUGUUCGCGAGGCUCCAGUCGCUUGGUACCGUGGGCCCUAACCGAAGAGACUUCCUGCUGACCCUCUUAGCCUUGUCGGCAGUGGUGUCAGCCAUGGGCUGACACCUUGGGAUGGCUGCUCGGGUGCUGCCAAACAUCCAGGCACGGCUGCUGCCGCGACACAACAACUGGCAGCCAGCAGCCACGAGCAGCCAUGCAAGCAGGGCAUCACCAUGGCCCCUCCCUGCGGAGCCUCUGCGUCACACCAGACCCACCGGCCCCCACCCCUGAAGAUGGACGUUACCAUCAAGUAAGUCAACGGCGAUGACAACAGUACCACCAUCAAAAUUCUCAGGGGUGGAGGGAGCCUGGUGGGGUCAAUAUUACUGUCUUUGGUGCUGUCGGGGCUCCUCGGCUUUGUGUUCAUGCGGUGCAUUCGGGCCAUCGGUUUCGAUCAACAAGGCAUCCGGAAUGGCAGCUGGGCAGCAUGGUGGCAGAGCGGCGCCGGCCCCAUCAUGCCAGGCAGCACCUUCGCGGUGCUGCAAAGCCUGGGCAUGACGGGCCUUAACAUCGGCCACUUGCUCUCCGGGGCAAUGCUUCUGCUCACCUUUAUGCCGUCCAUAGGCUGAGUUCCGGAAGUGGCUGCUUCACGUGCCACCAACCAUCGCGGCACGGCUGCUGCUGGCAUAGGCGAGAACCAGCAGGCAGAAGCGGCCACGCAAGAAGAACACGACGAUGGCCCGGACCCACCGGCGCCCUCCCCUGAAAAUGGCGUUCACAAUAAAAUUUUUCAUCAGUGGAAAUGACAACAGCAUCAGCAUCAAAAUUCUCAGGGUAGGGGCCAGCCUGGUGUAGCCCUCAUUUUUAGCCCUCGUUCUGACUCAACCAAAAUAGCCUGAGGAGGUACUGAAGACACAAGAAACGGAGUUGGGACAAAUUUCGUUAAGUGUAGAGCAGGUGGAAAAGCCGCAACCGUUGGAACAGCUUGAACUUCUGGCAUGAAAUUAAAUAUAAAGACGUUGCUCUGUACUUCCUGCUCCAGUAAUCGACCUUUUAGGGCGAAAUUAACGAAAAUAGAAUUUCGAAAGAAUGCUUUCUCUGGACUGAUCUGAUGAUUCACAUUAGGGUCACUCUAAAGAAGCAAGGACGCUUCUUCAGAAGCGAGCCGCUCUGUUGAUUCAACGCGGUUUGCGGCGGUAAAACGGUAACACAGCGUAGAAAGCCAAGAAGAUAGUAGUCAGUGUUUCCUGGUGCGUGCUGUUCUUGCUUGAAGUCUGUCCCAUUUUUCUGCGUCGUUUUACUGUCACGAAACACAUUUUCUGAGUUGUUAGAAGCUGCCCCGCACGCUUAUGUCACGUAACAGGAUAACACUUAGCAAGUGUUGAGGCUGGUAAACACUUGGACGAGGAGAACGGUGAAAAAUAACAAAAUAGCUCUUUUCCUUCCCUAACCCACGUUUAAAAACAUCCAGCUAACAAUCCGAAACGUAAUCACAAUUGCCUGAGAUCUGAAAAAGAAAUACGGAAGAGUGAAGCGUCAGCCAAACCGUUCAUAUGUUCUCGCGCAUGCGCAUAUGACACCCCCCACCUCCGGACCUCAUCAAGGGCACAGUAGUGUUCUGUCUCUCUCUCUCUCCCAUCAUACCUUUCCCUAUUUCUGCACGACGUCAUUAAAAUUCACGCAGUGUCACGACGCCACGUUAAUGUGAAUGAUGCCAGGUCAGAUGCUUCGAGAUCAACUUUAAUAUAACAAUGUGUUGCGCCGCCAAGCUAUGUGAGUGGUGGCGCUGGCUAGCACUAUCAUGGUUAGGUCUAGUAGUGAAACGUAACUAUCCGAGAAAGUGGGCGGGAAAACGGCGCCUUGGGAGCUCAAUCAGUAAGAGCAUCGCACGUGUAAUGCAAAGACGUGGAAUCGUUCCGCACCUGCGGCACGUCAUUUUUUCAUGCAGUUUCAUCUCCAGUUAUUUAUCAUUUUGUUUAAUUCUGGUCGUAAGUACAAAAAAUUUACAGUAUGCUGUAUGGCGUCUUUGAUUGUUAGCUUCUUAUGAUAUGAAACACCCGGUAUAUAUAUAUAUAUAGUUAUAUAUAAUAUACCGGGUGUUUCAGCGAACACUUUCAAUUUUUUUUAACAUGUUGCCUGAUAUAACUGAGUGUGUUGAAUACCUGCCGCGGCGGCCGCAUUCCGAUGGCGGAGAAAUUAAAGACGCUUCACACUGCGCAUUAACUGUCCGUUAAAAAAAGUCACGUGGUCAAAAUUACACCUGAGUUCCCGCUAUACGGCGUGCCAGGUUAUCAGACGGUGUUUCUGGGACGUAAAGCUGCAGAAUUUGAGCUGACCUAAUUCGUUGUAGGCUAAACAAAGAUUCUUUGGUAUUCUUCGGUGUACUGUGUUUUCAACGUUUCCUUCAUGUGCUCGUCCGCUGGAGCCAAAAAUUUUCGUCUACGUUAUAGUUACAAGUCGCCCAACAUACAGCAGCUUUAAAGAUUCUCCGACGAGGUCGCAAAAUCGCACUUGGAGUUCGCCUUUGACAUCGCAACUCCUGGGGCGUGACAGUGGGUUAAUGCGUACAGGGUUAUUGAAAGACUACACGCUUAUUGCAAAUGCACAUGCGCUAGCUUUCUCUGCCUAAAGUACGAAAAAGAUUGAGCAUUUAGGUUACCGCGCUCGGUAGAUAAAGCGUCCGAGCGAGCCGUCUUGAAUGCGAAGGGGUUCUCAAGGAGUCGGCGCACGACUGCAUAGGAAACAACGUAAGAGAAUUCGCAGGCGUAUGUAAGAGCAAGAGGCGAUGCCGUUUUGACUGACGCGUUUAAUUAUUUGGCUCCUAUCUUCGGUGUGUGUUCGUUCUUUAUUUACAGCUCACCUCACCAGGCGGCGUGCGCGCUCGCCCUAUACGGGCAGUUCUGCCAUAUUUCAACCGCACUAGUGGGAGUGGAGGAACCUUCACGACGCUGAGGAAGAAAGGCGAAUCGUGACUCGUUUUCGAGUGCCACCUGCUCGCAAGUGUAGCUGUCAGUGGCACUUGUCCCUGUCAGAUGCAAGUGCCGCGAGGUGCCGCUAGAAGGUCGGAGCGGUCACGCAAGCUCCGUGAAGAACAAAGACGGGGACGGGUGCACGAGCACGGCGGCAGAGGCGCGAGCUCGCAGUGUUCUAACCAGGCGGGCAGCAGUUCCGAGCUCCUGGAGGGAACUAGGCGAGAGUAACCUGCCAGGCGAGAUGUCCGUGGCAAGGUGCGGAUGAUCGCGGAGCCGAGCGUGGACGAGGACGUCCGAGGAACCAGCAGGGCUCCUGUUGCCUGUGCUCGAGACGCUGGCUGAUCCGAGGGCCGCCGGUCCCUGGGCUGCCGCACCUGAGCUGUGCCGGGCAGCGUUGCAGUCUGGCACAGAUACUGACACUGCCAUUACGCUGGUUAUCAACU